ensembl:misc_RNA Metazoa_SRP Metazoan signal recognition particle RNA
GCUGGGCACGGUGGCCGGUGCCUGUAAUCCCAGCUACUCAGGAGGCUGAGACAGGAGAAUCGCUUGAACCUGGGAAGUGGAGGUUGCAGUGAGCUAAGACUGUGCCACUGCACUCUAGCCUGGGUGACAGAGCAAGACUCUGUCUCAA